AUCAGAGUGAACGGGGUGGAGCAGAGCACUGCGAAAGAAAAUAAAGAUAUGACCACAGAUUUCCAGUUAGCCAAAAUUGACCAUGUCCUUGUCCAUGGGAUGUCAAUGAGGGAAGCUGGGCAAAGAGUGCAGCCAAAUCUGAGCCAAUUCACAGUAGUCUCGAUAAUCUGGACCUUCAGAGAGGACAAUAGAACUGAGAGACAACCACCUAAUGGAGGCAGAAGACAGCUAUUUUCAGAAGAGCAAGAGAUGGAAAUCAUCAAUAUGGUCAUCGCCGACAAUAUCAUUCGCUUCCAUGAGAUACAAAAGAGAGUUAUUGAGGAUCAGGGAAUAUUCCAAGGCAUUGAUGCAGUCACCAUCUCAACAACUGGCCGCAUUCUUUGACGGGACAGGUUGAGGAUGAAACGGGCCUAUCAUGUUCCUUUCCAAAGGAACUCCAAUAGAGUCAAAGACCAGCGCUCGGAAUAUGUGCAAAGAAUCUUUGAUAUUGAUGCCAGAGACACUUCUCAUCAACUCAUCUUUGUAGAUGAAGCAGGAUUUAGUAAUCUUACAUAAAGGGGGAGGAACAUAAUUGGCCACCGGGCCAUUGUGAAUGUCCCUGGCGAAUGUCCUCCACCGCCAUGUCGCUCUUGGUCCUCACAACACCACGCAUCUGCUGGCUUUACUCGAUGGUCUGAGAAUCUUUGGCCUGACCCAGACCAGAGACGGGAUGCUGAGGCAGAAUACAUGGCAUUUCUUCUUUAUGUACAAACUGUUUUUUUUUCCCCCAUUGGGUUAUAUUGGUAAAUACAUGGACAUUAUUUUACUGUAGUCUACAUUCUUUAUCAGUUGCAUAUUUUUACUGUACAUUUACUUUUUCAGUUUAUUUUACUACUGUACAUUGAAGAAUUACACAUUUUGAA